rnacentral:rRNA from 1 species
UUUAUGGAGAGUUUGAUCCUGGCUCAGGAUGAACGCUGGCGGCGUGCCUAAUACAUGCAAGUCGAGCGAACGGACGAGAAGCUUGCUUCUCUGAUGUUAGCGGCGGACGGGUGAGUAACACGUGGAUAACCUACCUAUAAGACUGGGAUAACUUCGGGAAACCGGAGCUAAUACCGGAUAAUAUUUUGAACCGCAUGGUUCGAAAGUGAAAGACGGUCUUGCUGUCACUUAUAGAUGGAUCCGCGCUGCAUUAGCUAGUUGGUAAGGUAACGGCUUACCAAGGCAACGAUGCAUAGCCGACCUGAGAGGGUGAUCGGCCACACUGGAACUGAGACACGGUCCAGACUCCUACGGGAGGCAGCAGUAGGGAAUCUUCCGCAAUGGGCGAAAGCCUGACGGAGCAACGCCGCGUGAGUGAUGAAGGUCUUCGGAUCGUAAAACUCUGUUAUUAGGGAAGAACAUAUGUGUAAGUAACUGUGCACAUCUUGACGGUACCUAAUCAGAAAGCCACGGCUAACUACGUGCCAGCAGCCGCGGUAAUACGUAGGUGG